CAUCUGCUCUUUCCCUCUCGCCUCUCGCCUCUCGCCUCUUUCUCUUUCCCAAAAGUAAAACCCACACACGCCACCACAUCCCUCCUCCUCCUCCUCCUCCUCUCUCUCUCUCUCUCUCUCUCUCUCUCUCUCCCCUACUGCCCAUUGCUGAGAAAAUCCGAAUAUGAGGAGGUGGCCAUGACCCAUGAGCAUAUUCAAUGAUGUGCACGCUUAUGGGAUUUCCUGUGAUUGUAUGAUGAUGUUAAAGUUUUGGGUGUUUCUGUAUGAUGGAUUGGUGAAGAAGAUGACUAGGAGAGAGAGAUGGAGAGAGAGAGAGAGAGAGAGAGAGAGAGAGAGAGAGAGAGAGAGAGGGACUGUUGUGGAUUUGGGGGUGGGAUGGGUUGAGGGAUAAUCUGUAUUUAUUUUGACAAAAUAAUGAUUUGGAUGGAUAAAUAAUUAUUCUUAGAUGCAUAUACUUGUUCAGUUUAUUAAUUAACCAACAAAAUUCAACAUUUUUAUUUAUCAUUUUCACUUAUUAUUAAAGAUAAUUCUAGGUUUUUUUCACAUUAGAAUUUUCUUAUUGUUUUAAAUUUUUUUUUUUUUUUUACCAACGUAGCACAAACAUACUUGAAAAAUAACUCAAAUAUUAUUAUUCUCAAAUUAUACUAUCUGAUACAAUACGUUUUCACUAUUUUUAUUUUUUGAAUAUGUUUUCAAAUUAAUCUAUUAGAUGCAUUCUCAAAUCAUGAAAAUGCAAAUUUGUUUUCUCGUUUUACAUUCUCCAAAAUCAUGAAAGUGUUGCCACAAGAUGCAUGUGGUGGCAACCCCAUGUUACCCAUAAGAGCACUUCCACCCAUUUGCCCUUUGCCAUGGCAAGGGGAGGGCUAGGGCAACUACUAUUCACGUAAAUAGUGGCUGUCCUUGCAAAAAGCAAUGUGUGUUUCCACCCAUUGCCAUGGCAAAGGGUAAAUACUAUUCAUUUUUUUUGUUUUUUUUACAAAUUUUUUACCUAAACAAUUAAUUUGGAUAAUAUUUUCGGAUAAGAUUUUU
rnacentral:lncRNA from 1 species